rnacentral:rRNA from 1 species
AUUGAACGCUGGCGGCAUGCUUUACACAUGCAAGUCGAGCGGCAGCGCGGGGGCAACCCUGGCGGCGAGCGGCGAACGGGUGAGUAAUGCAUCGGAACGUGUCCCGUGAUGGGGGAUAACGCCGCGAAAGCGGCGCUAAUACCGCAUACGCUCUACGGAGGAAAGUGGGGGAUCCGCAAGGACCUCACGUUAGGGGAGCGGCCGAUGUCCGAUUAGCUAGUUGGUGGGGUAACGGCCCACCAAGGCGACGAUCGGUAGCUGGUCUGAGAGGAUGAUCAGCCACACUGGGACUGAGACACGGCCCAGACUCCUACGGGAGGCAGCAGUGGGGAAUUUUGGACAAUGGGGGCAACCCUGAUCCAGCCAUGCCGCGUGCGGGAAGAAGGCCUUCGGGUUGUAAACCGCUUUUAGUCGGGAAGAAAAGGCGCGGGUUAAUACCUUGCGUUUUUGACGGUACCGGCGGAAUAAGCACCGGCUAACUACGUGCCAGCAGCCGCGGUAAUACGUAGGGUGCGAGCGUUAAUCGGAAUUACUGGGCGUAAAGCGUGCGCAGGCGGUUCGUUGUGUCGGUGGUGAAAUCCCCGGGCUUAACCUGGGAAUGGCCAUGGAAACUGGCGAACUGGAGUGUGGCAGAGGGGGGUGGAAUUCCGCGUGUAGCAGUGAAAUGCGUAGAGAUGCGGAGGAACACCGAUGGCGAAG